rnacentral:rRNA from 1 species
GACGAACGCUGGCGGCAUGCUUAACACAUGCAAGUCGAACGGAAAGGCCCUGCUUUUGUGGGGUGCUCGAGUGGCGAACGGGUGAGUAACACGUGAGUAACCUGCCCUUGACUUUGGGAUAACUUCAGGAAACUGGGGCUAAUACCGGAUAGGAGCUCCUGCUGCAUGGUGGGGGUUGGAAAGUUUCGGCGGUUGGGGAUGGACUCGCGGCUUAUCAGCUUGUUGGUGGGGUAGUGGCUUACCAAGGCUUUGACGGGUAGCCGGCCUGAGAGGGUGACCGGCCACAUUGGGACUGGGAUACGGCCCAGACUCCUACGGGAGGCAGCAGUGGGGAAUAUUGCACAAUGGGCGGAAGCCUGAUGCAGCAACGCCGCGUGCGGGAUGACGGCCUUCGGGUUGUAAACCGCUUUCGCCUGUGACGAAGCGUGAGUGACGGUAAUGGGUAAAGAAGCACCGGCUAACUACGUG